GGCGAUAUGGCCGAGCGGUCUAAGGCGCCAGAAUCAGGACCUUGGUCUAUCUGGUCCGAAAGGGCGUGGGUUCGAAUCCCACUGUCGUCA
rfam:Trametes versicolor FP-101664 SS1 unplaced genomic scaffold TRAVEscaffold_14, whole genome shotgun sequence.